UUGUUUAUGAUGAUACUUUUCUCAGCUCACUCAGAUUAACAAGUGAUCGAUAAUAUUUCCUUUAUCCAACUUCAUCAAAGUUUACUGAUACAA
rnacentral:snoRNA from 1 species